UUGUUAUGACGGCCUAGGAAACUAAUA
rnacentral:piRNA from 1 species